GAUGAACGCUGGCGGCGUGCCUAAUACAUGCAAGUCGAGCGAACGGACGAGAAGCUUGCUUUUCUGAUGUUAGCGGCGGACGGGUGAGUAACACGUGGAUAACCUACCUAUAAGACUGGGAUAACUUCGGGAAACCGGAGCUAAUACCGGAUAAUAUUUUGAACCGCAUGGUUCAAAAGUGAAAGACGGUCUUGCUGUCACUUAUAGAUGGAUCCGCGCUGCAUUAGCUAGUUGGUAAGGUAACGGCUUACCAAGGCAACGAUGCAUAGCCGACCUGAGAGGGUGACCGCCCACACUGGAACUGAGACACGGUCCAGACUCCUACGGGAGGCAGCAGUAGGGAAUCUUCCGCAAUGGGCGAAAGCCUGACGGAGCAACGCCGCGUGAGUGAUGAAGGUCUUCGGAUCGUAAAACUCUGUUAUUAGGGAAGAACAUAUGUGUAAGUAACUGUGCACAUCUUGACGGUACCUAAUCAGAAAGCCACGGCUAACUACGUG
rnacentral:rRNA from 1 species